rnacentral:rRNA from 1 species
UAUUUGUAUAUAAUUUUUACUGUGAAAAAAGUAUUAUUAAUAUAUUUAUAGAGGUUAAAUGCUAUUCGAUUUUAAAUAUAUCUAGUUUUUUAAGAAAAAAAUUUAAUUUUAUUUUUAUUUAAUUAUAAAAUUUAUUUCUUAAUUUUAUAAUAGUAAAAUUUUAUUUUUUAAGGGAUGAGCUUUAAAAAAUAUUAAUAUAAUUUAUUAAUUUUUUUUAUUAAGUAGGAUUAAAAGUUUCUAUCUUUAAAAGUGUUUUAUAACAGUUUAAUAUAUCUAUAAAAUUUAUAUAUAAUAAGUUUAUUUUUUUUAUUAAAAUUUAGAUCUUAAUUUUUUAGAUUUAGUAAUUAUGAUAAAAUUAGUAUAAUAUUUUGUAUAAGUUUAAUAUUUAUUAAAGGUUAAAUAAAGGAAUUCGGCAAAAAUAUUUUUCACCUGUUUAAUAAAAACAUGUCUUUUUGAUUAUAAUUUAAAGUCUAGCCUGCCCUAUGAUGUAGUAAUUAAAUGGCCGCGGUAUUUUGACCGUGCAAAGGUAGCAUAAUCAAUAGUUUUUUAAUUGAAAGCUAGUAUGAAGGGUUGAAUGAGAAAAUAACUGUCUCUAUUUAAAUUUUUUAGAAUUUUAUUUUUAAGUAAAAAAGCUUAAAUAUAUAUUGAAGACGAGAAGACCCUAUAGAGUUUUAUAAAUUUGAUAUCUGGGUGUUUUAGAAUUAUAAAAUUUAAUAGUCAAAUUUUAUUUAGUUGGGGUGAUUGAAAAAUUUAAUUAACUUUUUUUUUAUAUAAACAUUUAUUUAUGAAAAAUUGAUCCUUUUAUUAAGAUUAAAAGAUAAAAUUACCUUAGGGAUAACAGCGUAAUUUUUUUUAAGAGCCCGUAUUAAAAAAAAAGAUUGCGACCUCGAUGUUGGAUUAAAGUUUAUUUUUGGUGUAGAAGCUAAAAUAUUAGGUCUGUUCG